UGGGGAAUAUUGCACAAUGGGCGAAAGCCUGAUGCAGCAACGCCGCGUGAGUGAUGAAGGCCUUCGGGUUGUAAAGCUCUGUCUUUUGGGACGAUAAUGACGGUACCAAAGGAGGAAGCCACGGCUAACUACGUGCCAGCAGCCGCGGUAAUACGUAGGUGGCAAGCGUUGUCCGGAUUUACUGGGCGUAAAGGAUGCGUAGGCGGAUUUUUAAGUGAGAUGUGAAAACCCUAAGCUUAACUUGGGGACUGCAUUUCAUACUGGAAAUCUAGAGUGCGGGAGAGGAGAAUGGAAUUCCUAGUGUAGCGGUGAAAUGCGUAGAGAUUAGGAAGAACACCAGUGGCGAAGGCGAUUCUCUGGACCGUAACUGACGCUGAGGCAUGAAAGCGUGGGUAGCAAACAGGAUUAGAUACCCUGGUAGUCCACGCCGUAAACGAUGAGUACUAGGUGUAGGAGGUAUCGACCCCUUCUGUGCCGCAGUUAACACAAUAAGUACUCCGCCUGGGAAGUACGAUCGCAAGAUUAAAAACUCAAAAUGAA
rnacentral:rRNA from 1 species